rnacentral:rRNA from 1 species
GACAGAGGAUGCAAGCGUUAUCCGGAAUGAUUGGGCGUAAAGCGUCUGUAGGUGGCUUUUAAGUCCGCCGUCAAAUCCCAGGGCUCAACCCUGGACAGGCGGUGGAAACUACCAAGCUGGAGUACGGUAGGGGCAGAGGGAAUUUCCGGUGGAGCGGUGAAAUGCGUAGAGAUCGGAAAGAACGACCACGGCGAAGCAACUCUGCUGGGCCGACACUGACACUGAGAGACGAAAGCUAGGGGAGCGAAUGGG